rnacentral:rRNA from 1 species
GAUGAACGCUGGCGGCGUGCCUAAUACAUGCAAGUCGAGCGAACGGACGCGAAGCUUGUUUCUCUGUUGUUAGCGGCGCACGGGUGAGUAACACGUGGAUACCCUCCCUAUAUGACUGGGAUCACUUCGGGAAACGGUAGCUAAUACCGGAUAAUCUUUUGAACCGCAUGGUUGAAAGGUGAGAUACGGUCUUGCUGUAACUUAUCGAUGGAUAUGCGCUGCAUGAGCUAGUUGGUAAGGUAACAGCCUACCAAGGCAACGAUGCAUAGCCGACGUGAUAGAGGGAUCGCCCACCUGGGAGCGUGACCGCCGACCAGACGCCUGCGAGAGGCAGCAGUAGCGUACCGUCCGCAAUGGGCGAGAGCCUGACAGAGCGACGGCGCGUGAGUGAUGGAGGUCUCCGGAUCGUAAUACUCUGUUAUGAGUGAAGAACAUAUGUGUACGGAACUGUGCACAUCUUGACGGUAACUAAUCAGAAAGCCACGGCUAACUACGUG